CUGUUUAAAACAAACAGCAAUUGAUGGAUAAAUCAGGAAUAGAUUCUCUUGACCAUGUGACAUCUGAUGCUGUGGAACCUGCAAAUCGAAGUGAUAACUCUUCUGAUAGCAGCUUAUUUAAAACUCAGUGUAUCCCUUACUCACCUAAACGGGAGAAAAGAAACCCCAUUCGAAAAUUUGUUUGUACACCUGAAAGUGUUCACGUAAGUGAUUCAUCAAGUGACUCAUCUUUUGAACCAAUACCAUUGACUAUAAAAGCUAUUUUUGAAAGAUUCAAGAACAAGAAAAAGAGAUAUAAAAAAAAGAAAAAGAGGAGGUACCAGCCAACAGGAAGACCAAGGAAGGAGAAAUCCUAUAUACUCACUAAUAGAUAAGAAGAAACAAUUUAGAAGCAGAGAAUCUGGCUUCCCAUUUUUAGAAUCAGAGAAUGAAAAAAACCCACCUUAGAGAAAAAUUUUAACGUUUGAGCAAGCUGUUGUAAGAGGAUUUUUUAGCUAUAUUGAAAAUCUGAACUAUGAACACCACCUGAAAGAAUCAUUGAAACAAAUGAAUGUUGGUGAAGAUUUAGAAAAUGAAGAUUUUGAUAGUUGUAGAUAUAAAUUUUUGGAUGAUGAUGGAUCCAUUUCUCCUAUUGAGGAGUCAAUGGGGAUAGUUUCAUAGUAAGUUCUGAAUUCCCUGUAAGACUGAGUGUAUACUUAGAAGAAGAGGAUAUUACUGAAGAACCUGCUUUGUCUAAAAAGAGAGCUACAAAAGCCAAAAAUACUGGACAGAGAGGCCUGAAAAUGUGACAGGGUCAUGAAUGUCAAAGGCUUU